CGUAUGCCAAGAGGGCUGUACUCUUGCUGUGCAUCUGCACCAGAUUGUACAAGAUCACAACUGAAAAAUGGAAUGUCCAAGCUCGGAAAACGAGGAGGCUCAUAGUAUAAGGCUCCUCCAUCCUUCUGCUCUUCUAGUAUGCUCGAAUUUUCGUUCAUUAAUGGACACGUUUGAAUAGUAUUUGAAGGAGUUGAGCGAAAAUCAUUGACAGAAACUAGCUGUAGAGGUACGCUCGAAUUUUCGUUCAUUAAUGGACACGUUUGAAUAGUAUUUGAAGGAGUUGAGCGAAAAUCAUUGACAGAAACUAGCUGUAGAGAAUCUUUAGUUUGAUCCAGUUGCUCUUCCAGGAGAGGAUCGUCCAUUAUGUUGUCACAAGAAGUACCAGAUUCAAAGGGAUAUAGAAAACCAUCAGAGUUACUUGUGUGGGACUCCUGUGCUGGGUUUCCCUGCGAUGG
rnacentral:lncRNA from 1 species